UGGUAGCGAGGUAGGCGAAUUGUCGUGUGGUUGAAUUCAACCCGGCGUAAAAUGUAAAUAAAACAUAAGAAGCAUAAGAUUUUGGUAAAAUAUAGAUCAUCGUAUCGAAGCCAUUGUGAAAAGGUAGAAGUGAAUUUGGUGAUGCAAAAAUUAGUUUAUCGGAUCUUGAGUGAAAUAUAAAAAGCAGAAUUAUUGAUGUGUUUUCGUUCGGAAAUUAGUUCUGAGUUUCGGAUAUAGCUAUUGAAAAGUUGAAUCCUGCGGUAGUAAACGUACCCUGAAAAGAAAAGAAUAGUUAAAGGAAACUAGGCAACUAUAAAUGAACUAGCCCAGCGGUGACGAAACCUGUGAAGGAAGAAAGGGAUCGAAGA